AGGACGAACGCUGGCGGCGUGCUUAACACAUGCAAGUGGUGCGACGAACCAGGGCUUGCCCUGGGGCAAAGCCGCGAACGGGUGAGUAACACGUGAGUAAUCUGCCCCGAUGACCGGGACAACCCGAGGAAACUCGGGCUAAUACCGGAUGUGGUGCUUGGGCGUAAGCCUGUGCACUAAAGGAAGCUUCGGCCUCCGCAUUGGGAGGAGCUCGCGGCCCAUUAGCUUGUUGGUGGGGUAACGGCCUACCAAGGCGACGAUGGGUAGCUGGUCUGAGAGGACGAUCAGCCACACUGGGACUGAGACACGGCCCAGACUCCUACGGGAGGCAGCAGUGGGGAAUCUUGCGCAAUGCGCGAAAGCGUGACGCAGCAACGCCGCGUGGGGGAAGACGGCCUUCGGGUUGUAAACCCCUUUCAGGAGGGACGAAGGUCCGCCGGUGAAUAGCCGUGCGGAUUGACGGUACCUCCACAAGAAGCUCCGGCUAACUACGUGCCAGCAGCCGCGGUAAUACGUAGGGGGCAAGCGUUGUCCGGAUUUAUUGGGCGUA
rnacentral:rRNA from 1 species